rnacentral:rRNA from 1 species
GUGGGGAAUAUUGGACAAUGGGCGCAAGCCUGAUCCAGCCAUGCCGCGUGAGUGAUGAAGGCCUUAGGGUUGUAAAGCUCUUUUGUCCGGGACGAUAAUGACGGUACCGGAAGAAUAAGCCCCGGCUAACUUCGUGCCAGCAGCCGCGGUAAUACGAAGGGGGCUAGCGUUGCUCGGAAUCACUGGGCGUAAAGGGCGCGUAGGCGGCCUUGUAAGUUGGGGGUGAAAGCCCGUGGCUCAACCACGGAAUUGCCUUCGAUACUGCUUGGCUUGAGACCGGAAGAGGUGAGUGGAACUGCGAGUGUAGAGGUGAAAUUCGUAGAUAUUCGCAAGAACACCAGUGGCGAAGGCGGCUCACUGGUCCGGAUCUGACGCUGAGGCGCGAAAGCGUGGGGAGCAAACAGGAUUAGAAACCCCAGUAGUCC